CCGCGGGGGCGGAGCCAGGGACGGAGCCCUGGGGUCUGGCUCUGAGCCACGAGGGGCGCGAUCCGGCCGGACCCAGCCGAGUGCAGCUCGCCGCCUUGCUCCCUGCUGGCCAGCAUGUCCUUCGUCCCUGUGGCCGAGGAUUCUGACUUCCCCAUCCAAAACCUGCCCUACGGCGUCUUUUCCACCCCAGACAACCCAAGACCGAGGAUCGGCGUGGCCAUUGGCGACCAGAUCCUGGACCUCAGCGUCAUUAAGCACCUCUUCACCGGGCCUGUCCUCUCCAAACACCAGGAUGUCUUUGAUCAGCCGGCUCUCAAUAGCUUCAUGGGCCUCGGCCAGGCCGCCUGGAGGGAGGCGAGAGAGUCCUUGCGGAAUCUGCUGUCCACCAGCUGUGCCAGGCUCCGAGACGACACGGACCUUCGGAGACGGGCAUUCACGGCCCAGGCUUCUGCUGCGAUGCACCUGCCAGCCGCCAUAGGUGACUACACGGACUUCUACUCUUCCCGCCAGCACGCCACCAACGUGGGGAUCAUGUUCCGGGGCAGCGAGAACGCGCUCAUGCCAAACUGGCUGCACUUGCCAGUGGGUUACCACGGCCGUGCUUCCUCCGUCGUGGUGUCAGGCACGCCGAUCCGAAGGCCCACGGGGCAGAUGAGACCCGACGACGCUAAGCCCCCCGUCUUUGGCCCCUGCAAGCUCCUGGAUAUGGAGCUGGAGAUGGCUUUCUUCGUAGGCCCCGGGAACAACUUGGGAGAGCCGAUCCCCAUCUCCAGGGCCCACGAGCACAUUUUCGGGAUGGUCCUCAUGAACGACUGGAGCGCUCGAGACAUCCAGAAGUGGGAGUACGUCCCCCUUGGGCCGUUCCUGGGGAAGAGUUUCGGCACGACCAUCUCUCCGUGGGUGGUGCCCAUGGACGCCCUCCUGCCCUUUGCCGUGCCCAACCCGGAGCAGGACCCCAAGCCCCUGCCGUAUCUCCGCCACGGCCGGCCCUACACGUUCGACAUCAACCUGUCUGUCACCCUGAAAGGAGAAGGAAUGAGCCAGGCAGCCACCAUAUGCACGUCCAACUUUAAGUACAUGUACUGGACGAUGCUCCAGCAGCUGACCCACCACUCUGUCAAUGGCUGCAACCUUCGGCCAGGGGACCUCUUGGCUUCUGGAACCAUCAGCGGGCCGGAGCCCGAAAGCUUUGGCUCCUUGUUGGAGCUGUCCUGGAGGGGAACGAAGGCCAUCGACCUGGGGAACGGACAGACCAGGAAGUUUCUGCUGGACGGGGAUGAAGUCAUCAUAACAGGGGCACUAAGGACACCGGCAGCGUUGGGCCACCCACAAGCCCCACCGUCCGCCUCCCGAAGUCUUCAUCCUGCAAAACUGAAACUCGGUCGCCGUUAAACAGCCGGCCCCCGGCACCCACCACCUCCUUUCUGUCUCGGUGCCCUUGGCUCCUCUCGGGACCUCACGGGAGUGGAUGCUGCAGCCACUGUCCCUUUCUGGCGACUCACUUCAGUCGGCAUCGUGUCCACCAGGCUCAUCCGUGCUGUGGCAGCCGUCGGGCCCUCCUUCCUUGCUAAGCUGGGUAAUAUUCUGCUCCGUUCCUCCACGGACGGGUAGGUGGGCUGCUUCCAGCCCUUGGCCGUUGCGGACGAUGCUGCCGUGAAUCUGUGCGCACGGGUGUCUCCUGGGGGCCCCGCUUCGAUGCCUUGAGGUGCAUAGAUCCAGAGCCGAAUGGCCGGAUCGCUGCUAUUCUAGUCUGUUGUUACCUCUUACCCGUUUUUCUCUCGGAUCUUUGGUCUCUUUCUUGACCGUGGAAGCACAGAGAUGAGAUUAAUAUUUUAUUUGUUCGUCUGAUUUUUAUUUCCUAUUUGUGACAUUUCCUUUAUCCCUGAGUCCUACUCCUGUGUCUCCGUUGUCUUCCUCCGCCCGAUUUUCGUGACUAGUGUUAGCCCUUGGUUGUUUCUCUGUUCUUGGCUGUGCUUACGUUUCUGUAACUGAACUGUCAACGUUCGAUGUCCUUUUAUUCCCAGUCAUUACAGGUGAAGGAAUUGGGGAGGCUCAUCCCAAUUUCCACCUUCUUUCCCUGUUCUUUACGUUGUAGCCGGUUCCUUCCAUACUGUUUUUUAAUCUGCGUUUUCCGGUUCGACACAUUCAGUGCUCACCUGGGCCUGCGGCUGGGGUUGCCCAUCAGCGCAGAUGUUCUCCAGCACGGCUCUCAGGAAGGAAGAGCUCGUGGGGACAAUACUCCCUUCGGUCUUACCUGUUGGCUUCUUUGAAGGCUAGUGACCACGUCUGCUUCGACAACACUUCUGCGGUCUUGCGCUCCGGGGUUCUAGAUCGAGAGGCUGGAGUUUCCCUGGGCUGUUUCUUGUUGGCAUGCCUUGAAUUUAGAUUUCGUCUUCAGGGCCUUGAGACAGGUGAGUAGCGUGUGAGGUGAACUGCUCAGAAUUAUGCAGCCGCUGAUGUUUGAAUCUCUGCGAGGGCAGGAAACCUGAUGGCGCUGGUCGUUAGCUGACGGCCACUCGUGAUUCCGCGGGAGCCCCGGCCUGGCGGGGAGGACGCCUGUGCCUGGUCAGAGUUCUCCUGCUCCUUUGCACCGGGAUUUCGAAAGAUGGUCACUGUUGCAGCAUUGUGGGGACGGUAAAAAAGGGACAACAAAGCGAACGUCAGUAUUGCAGUGGUCACCGCCGUCACGGUCUGAAUCUGUGUCGCCAAAUACUCCGAGGCCGUUGAAAAGGAGCGCGUGCACACACACACGCACAAAUGAGGGCCAAGAAAUUUUGCCAAGUGAAAGAGUGGAGGACCAGUCCUUCAAAUAUGACAUAGUUCGUGGGAAGUAAAAAGAACCUUUGAAGGUCGAUAUGGAUGCACGCACAUGUCGGGGGCGAGAGGUUGGUGCCCUGCUCACGGCUCGGCCAAGACCCGCUCCUGCUUUAAUUGUUCCGGAGGUUUAAGACCAGUGCAAACGAUGUUGUAAUUAGUGCCUCCAUCCCAUCGUGCAGAAUCUGUACCCUAUUACCUGCGCAUAUUUGCUUUGUUUUUUCCCCCCAGAAGUAUACCCGUCUCCUGCAACCGCUAACCCACAGAAGCAAUCCAGCUACCCUGCAGAAACACUACCUUGAGGGUGGUGUGCAUCUUCCUUUCCAGGCAUCCUACAGAAAUCCUAGAGUUCCUCGAACCAUACCCUGAAAACACAUCUAUCUCACAUGCAAAGAGACUGGAAUAUGGGGAGCAGGAGUUCUCUCGGAGUCUCGGAGCAGUGAGAGCUGAACUUGGAGCCAGCCCGCCUUUCUGGCCCAGCCAGGCCUGUGCCGUGGGUUCUGGGGGGCUCUCAGGGAAGGAGGGAUGUGCCGGACGCUCACAGCAGGACUCGGUCCGGCCUCAGACACAGACUCUGCGAUCCCAGGCCCAGGAUCUGCCGUAAGUUCUCAUCAGACGCCCUGCACAGGUUGUAGAGGUCAGGCCUCGGAGAAGCUGCCUUUGGACCACCUCUGUCUUGUCUGGGGCCGGGACAAGGGGCUCUAGAACCCUGCAGCAUGCCCCAGAUUAUCCGUGUUUUCUGGAUCCUUCUGGCUGGGAUGAACGCCAAGGAUGUGCACUCAGAAAAACAGAUUUGCCUUUCCGCCCUCCA